CUGUGCCUCUGUGCAUUAAUAUUUGGAUGCAUGCAAUGCUAGCAUGGAAAUUGGUCUUCACACAUACUGCAGUUUUCCAGAAACACUCACAAACCAAUAAAUGUAACAGAUAUUCCAUUUGUUAAUGGGCAUAUAUGUGAAAAAGCAGUGUAGAAAAUAGGCUAAUAUUAGAAAAUGGUUAAGUCCUUAAUAACUUCAAGUGUGGUUAUAUAAUGGACACUGUCAAUGUUCAUAACUUAAACCUGGGUACCUGGUCAAAAUAAUGCUUGGGAAACAUUAAAAUUGAGCUAAAUUGUCUCAAGUUCUUUUAUUCAUAUAAAUAAAGUUUAAAGGAAUGGGGGAGAUUGACAUUUCCUGUUUUAUGUUUGUGAAAUUGUUUGACACAACCUUGACAGUAUCCUUUAAUGGCAUAUAAGGUUAAUUGUACUGUUAACCAACUUUCUAUGUUCUGGAACUAGUAUUAUAGUGAAAACAUUUACAGUAAGUUGAUGUUUACAACCUAUAAGCAGGUGAAAUCUGUGUAUGUGACCUGUUUAUAAGUUGUAUUAGCUUAGCUCUUGUGAACAGUGUGGAAAAGUAAGCCAUGAGGAGAGCGAUUUAACCAGCUUUAAAGGACCUAAGAUGUGCUUUUUAAGCACAGUGUGGAUCAAAGGAAACUCACUAAGACAGGACUUCAGCAGCCUUUUGUGUAUGGACAAGUCAGCAUAAAUAAAGAAUGACAAGGCAGCAGCAAGAGCUUCAACUACAGAGAAGUGAAGGCAUAAGAUACUAUGAUGAUAGUGAGCAACUUUUCAAAAGCUAGUUAAAUCUGCUUAUUACAACUGAAAUAUCGAAGAAAGUCUAGCAGGAAGGAGCUCUUCGCCUUUUGGAACAUCAAUGAGAGAUAGUUGCCACAGUCACUAGGUCUAGCAUUUAGACCUGCAAGGAAGGGCAAUAAGCAUUAGGUUGAAUGAGAACCCUACUUGCCUAAAUGCGGAAUGUCUUUCCUACCAUCUAAAAUACGAAGGUUUCUGGCUGGGUAAGGUUUGUAGUUGACAGUAAAACCUGAUGACACCAUUUGUUUCCCUACAAGUACAAAUUUCACAACUUUGUCCUUUUCUAGUAGGCACAUUGGUAAAAUUCUUCAGCUGAAAACUACCUUGGUACCAUGUCCAACACAUUUAAACCUUAGUUUUAAAAAUUCUCCUGUAAUAGUCAUAGGUAUUCAUCUGGAGUCAGUUGUGACCCCUUGUGUAUACCAUUUUUUAUUAGUGUCUUCAGGGUAAACUCAAUUUUUGGUAAGAGAAGGUAGCUUCAGCUUUGGUAAAAACCGUUUUUUAAUAAGCAUUACACACCACAGACUCAGUAGGCUGGCAAUCCUCAUGUUAGGAAAAACACCUUCAAAGGAACAGUAAAAGUUAACAGGGCCUGGCACAAUAGGUCAUGCCUGUAAUCUCAGCACUUUGGGAGGCUAAGGCAGAUGGAUCCCAAGUCUAGGAGUUUGAGACUAGCCUGGGUGACAAAAGCAGACAAAUUAGCCAGGCUUGGUGUUCCACAUCUGUAGUCCCAGCAGCUUGGGAGGCUGAGAUGGGAGGAUGCCUUGAUAGGAGGUUGAGGCUGCAGUGAGCUGACUGCCCCACUGUGUUCCAGCCUUGUUGACAGACCUCAUCUCAGAAAAGUUAUCAGAUGUCACAGAUGAAAUUUGGUCUUCAAGUGGCCUCAUAAGUUCUCUCAUAUAAAUUCAGGGAAUUCCUUGGAUAGGUUACAUUUUGGUUCCUUUUUUUGUUUAGGUUCAUCUGUUAACCAGAAGCAAUGGGGGCCUAAUUAGUGCUCCUUUGUAAAAAGACAUUUUUCCAAAGAAUACUGAAUUACUGUUCAUACUGGUUGUUGAUGGUUAAUAAGGGCUGUUUUUGCUGUCCCAAAAGGACUUAACAAUUUAGGUGGUUAGUUUACCUUAAAAAGCAGCCUUUGGAGACAAAUACUGAAAAUGCAAACUAGUUUCCAAAUUAUCAGUUUUCCUACGUGAAGAGCAGUCAGUUUGCCAGUGUUCUUAGAAAAUGGCUGUUGGCUCUAUCUAAAUGAGAACCCAAUUUCUACACAUGUUGAGUAAGGUAACAGCCUUUGAAUUUCCUUUACAACGUGGUUUUAGUGAAGCAAAUUUCCUAAGAAAGGAAACGUUUUUAUUUUUUAAGUGCAUUGUUCUUUCUAGUUCAUUUCUUUAUGAAAUAAAAUUGUUUUAUUUAAACAUAGUUCCAUUGUCGUUUCUGAAAAAUACAGUAUAAGUUGUAGCAGCAGUAAAAAAAAAAAUUGUUAUAUAAGUGGUUGAGGCAGAUUUAACUGAUUUUGUUAAACCAAUUUAUAGGUUAAUGCUUCUAAUAUUACACUUCUAAAAAGCUGAUUUUAUAUUCAUGUUCUAAAGGAGACUGUGGUAAUAAAGUGUAUUUGUUAAUAAUUGAAAUAGGCUUGAUUUUAAGAGUUCCAGUAUAUAAUAGUCAACAAUUUGAAACCUAAUUAAUGACAGUAUCUCUUGGAGUUCCAGUAAUUGAUGUCACAAAAUAGUGAAUAAGCAUGCCAGUGUGCAAGGGUAAUGUAAGGAUUGUUGGCCUAUCUAAAUAUUCAAAAUUAUAAAACUUCAGUAUGUUUUCUAAUUUUUAAGAAUUCAGAAGUGUUCUGUAAUGGAUUCAGAUGUUUCAUUUGUAGUAUAAUGAAAUGUUUACAGAAAGAUAACUUUUUCAUUAAAAUAUUUUUAGAAAUG